CCCUGGUUAGCUUAGUUGGUAGAGCGCCUCACUGGAAAUGGAAAGGCCACGGGUUCGCUACCCGGACCAGGCG
rnacentral:tRNA from 1 species